CCUGGUGGCGAGUGGCGAACGGGUGAGUAAUAUAUCGGAACGUACCCUGGAGUGGGGGAUAACGUAGCGAAAGUUACGCUAAUACCGCAUACGAUCUACGGAUGAAAGUGGGGGAUCCGCAAGGACCUCAUGCUCGUGGAGCGGCCGAUAUCUGAUUAGCUAGUUGGUAGGGUAAAGGCCUACCAAGGCAUCGAUCAGUAGCUGGUCUGAGAGGACGACCAGCCACACUGGGACUGAGACACGGCCCAGACUCCUACGGGAGGCAGCAGUGGGGAAUUUUGGACAAUGGGGGCAACCCUGAUCCAGCAAUGCCGCGUGAGUGAAGAAGGCCUUCGGGUUGUAAAGCUCUUUUGUCGGGGAAGAAACGGUGACUUCUAAUACAAGUCACUAAUGACGGUACCCGAAGAAUAAGCACCGGCUAACUACGUGCCAGCAGCCGCGGUAAUACGUAGGGUGCAAGCGUUAAUCGGAAUUACUGGGCGUAAAGCGUGCGCAGGCGGUUAUGUAAGACAGAUGUGAAAUGCCCGGGCUUAACCUGGGAACUGCAUUUGUGACUGCAUGGCUAGAGUGUGUCAGAGGGGGGUAGAAUUCCACGUGUAGCAGUGAAAUGCGUAGAGAUGUGGAGGAAUACCGAUGGCGAAGGCAGCCCCCUG
rnacentral:rRNA from 1 species